rfam:Oryctes borbonicus contig19026, whole genome shotgun sequence.
AGCUUUGCGCAGUGGCGAUAUCGUAACCAAUGAGGUCUAUCCGAGGUGCGAUCAUUGCUAGUUGAAAACUUUAACCAAUACCCCGCCAAGUGGACGUGAAAUACCGUCCGCUACGGCAAUUUUUGGAAGCCCCUACGGGGG